CCCUCCUCGGCAUCCUCUGCAUCCCCUGCACAGCCCCCCGCGUGCUGGGCGGGCGAACCCUCCCAGGCCCCCUGCAGGGACACAACCAAGGACUCCCUCCCCCGCAGAAAGUCCCCAGUGCACGCUCGCAUCUGAAGACAGGCAGGGGGAGAGGGCGCUGGCUCGGCCCCAGGAGUUUUAUUCUUCUCACCUUCUCUCUGGACCCUUUCCCCAUUUCAAAUUCUAUAAACAAAUACACAGAGCUGGUUAAGCCUCGGCCAAGCCCUUGGGGGGUGGCCGGAGGUGUACCGGACUGUUUCCUCAUCUGGAGGGCUUGGAAGGUGAUGUUCCCGGGUACCAGGAGGGGAAAAUGUAGGUAGUGCUCCUCCUCUUAUGAAGGCUAUGCCCCUGUUCCAGAGCCUGCUCUGAGGCAGAGGUUACAAGAAGACAAAGUCCAUCCUUGGUUUCUUGGAUGGAUUACAGCAAGCCUUCCCAGAGAAGGAAGCUCACUAUGGCAAUUCCAUGGAAAAUCGAUUUGAUCCAACGGGGGAGUAGGGGCAGAACUGGGGACCAAGAGUCUAGUUGAAUUUCUGGAUUAGUCCAGGGGAGAAAAUGGAGUGGGAGGUACCUGAGGUCACAGCUGGGUCGUCCGAGAUGCAUCCCAGGGUCCUGUGGUAGCUGCCUGCUUCCUUCAUCCAGGCCGAGAGACACGGAGACCCCUGCCCCUCUCUUUUCCCCAAAGUACAUGCCUGGUCUGGGGGAU